CGAAAUAGCUCAAUUGGUAGAGCAACUGACUUGUAAUCAGUAGGUUACGGGUUCGAUUCCUGUUUUCGGC
rnacentral:tRNA from 3 species